CCUCGAUGCCUUCGGUCGUUUCACGGCUGUUGGCACGGGUCGCGUCCGUCGACGUCCGAGGACGGCGUGCACUUCUCUCUUAGUAAAUACAUCGCGACCCGUUCGAUGUCGGUCUAAGCGCCGUACGGGAGCCCCGUUGCCCCUUCGCGGGGGUAGUGGGACCGCGACGGUGGCCGACCGGCCGUCGGACGGUAGUUCUGACGAAUCGCGCACGCGUUCUACACGCGUCCGGCCCGACGCAAGUCAACGUCGUAUCAUACGUCUACGCCAUAGUGCGGACGUGUGUGCGGCGCGUCUGGUGUCGCAGCCGUGCUGUCUCGGACUGUGCG
rnacentral:rRNA from 1 species